AAUCAACCACAGCUAAAAUUGUCGGUAUUAAUUUUUUCUGCCAAUACUUCGUAAAAUCUAAUUCCAUUAAUCUCGAAUAAUGCAAUCCAUCCUUAUUUUCUUACGACCUUCGUAACAAAUCACCCGCCCGCAACCAACGCCCAAUGGGGCAUAAUUAGUUACCACCGGAAAAUUUCGAAAAGAGACAGGUUGAGAGCGAGCGUUGAACAACCUCUUCACUCAAAAAGCUUGAAACCUACUCUUUUCCCCCCUUUUCGCUAAUUUCAAUCAAUCCCUAAUUUCUCUCUCUUCAAUUACUUUUGGUUGGUGAAUUUGCCAAAAAUUUGCGGAAAUUCAAAUGUGUCCACUUCGAAUUAUUUUGAUUUUUCUUUCUGCUGCUCUUGCCGGAUUUUUCGUCCUCAAGAAUCUCAAUUCUUCCGAUGAUCUCGACCUCAAUCUUCUUCCCGAUUCUCCAAAACCUAAAAAUUCUUCUCCGAUUUCAUACAAGGAUAAGGUAAUGGCGGGGAUUAGUUCGAGUUUUUGGAUAAUUGUGGAUAUGGCGAGCGGUCGGUAUCUCUGGAAGUAUUUCUCUGCUGCUUCAGCUAAGAGCUCGCCCUAAUUCUUCUUAGAUACAAUAUACGAAGUAGCAUGGUAGAUAUUAUUCUUGCUGUCGUUGUUGCUGCUGUUGUUGAUGAUGAUGAUGAUGUUGUUUCUGUUAAUUUGAAGAAGAUGCAUUAUUGGUAACCGUAACUAAGGCUAAGAAUCAUGAUAAUGAUUGUUGGCUUUCACUUCAAUUGAUGUAUUGUUGUAAUAUUCUAUGAAUAAUAUGUACAUACACAUGUUUGUUAAUGAUAUGGUAUUUUUGAUUUUUUA